rnacentral:rRNA from 1 species
AUUGAACGCUGGCGGCAGGCCUAACACAUGCAAGUCGAGCGGGGUUUUCGGACCUAGCGGCGGACGGGUGAGUAAUGCGUAGGAAGCUACCCGAUAGAGGGGGAUACCAGUUGGAAACGACUGUUAAUACCGCAUAAUGUCUACGGACCAAAGUGUGGGACCUUCGGGCCACAUGCUAUCGGAUGCGCCUGCGUGGGAUUAGCUAGUUGGUGGGGUAAUGGCUCACCAAGGCGACGAUCCCUAGCUGGUUUGAGAGGAUGAUCAGCCACACUGGAACGGAGACCCGGUCCAGACUCCUACGGGAGGCAGCAGUGGGGAAUAUUGGACAAUGGGCGCAAGCCUGAUCCAGCCAUGCCGCGUGUGUGAAGAAGGCCUUCGGGUUGUAAAGCACUUUCAGUAGGGAGGAAGAGUGUUGUGUUAAUAGCACAGCAUUUUGACGUUACCUACAGAAGAAGCACCGGCUAACUCUGUGCCAGCCGCCGCCGUAAAAC